UACGGAGGGAGCUAGCGUUGUUCGGAAUUACUGGGCGUAAAGCGCGCGUAGGCGGCUUUGUAAGUUAGAGGUGAAAGCCCGGAGCUCAACUCCGGAACUGCCUUUUAAGACUGCAUCGCUAGAAUUGUGGAGAGGUGAGUGGAAUUCCGAGUGUAGAGGUGAAAAUUCGUAGAUAUUUCGGAAGAACACCAGUGGCGAAGGCGACUCACUGGACACAUAUUGACGCUGAGGUGCGAAAAGCGUGGGGAGCAAACAGG
rnacentral:rRNA from 1 species